UGGGGAAUAUUGCACAAUGGGGGAAACCCUGAUGCAGCGACGCCGCGUGAACGAAGAAGGUAUUCGUAUCGUAAAGUUCUGUCCUAUGGGAAGAUAAUGACAGUACCAUAGAAGAAAGCUCCGGCUAAAUACGUGCCAGCAGCCGCGGUAAUACGUAUGGAGCGAGCGUUGUCCGGGAUUAUUGGGCGUAAAGGGUACGCAGGCGGUUUUAUAAGUCGAAUGUUAAAGAUCGGGGCUCAACCCCGCAAAGCAUUGGAAACUGAUAAACUUGAGUAGUGGAGAGGAAGGUGGAAUUCCUAGUGUAGUGGUGAAAUACGUAGAUAUUAGGAGGAAUACCAGUAGCGAAGGCGACUUUCUGGACACAAACUGACGCUGAGGUACUAAAGCGUGGGGAGCAAACAGG
rnacentral:rRNA from 1 species